UCGCUACUACCGAUUGAAUGUCUUAGUGAGCUUCCUGGAGUGCGUCUUCCGGUUGGGUUUCCAACCGUUGGCUCGCGCAAAGGGAAACAAACUUGAACAUUUAGAGGAAGUAA
rnacentral:rRNA from 1 species